rnacentral:lncRNA from 1 species
GAAUAUAAUUUAAGUGUGUUGACUUGGCUGUACGUGGUGUAGACAGACUUGUCUUUCCCCUGCGUGUAGGUUCAUCGUCCGUGACUUCCAGUAUAACGAGGAGGAGAUGAGAGCCGACAAAGAGGAGAUGAACCGGCUGUCCACUGACAAGAAGAAGCAGUUUGGACCACUUGUGCGGUGGCUUAAAGUGAAUUUCAGUGAGGCCUUUAUUGCGUGGAUUCAUAUAAAAGCAUUACGGGUUUUUGUGGAGUCUGUUUUAAG